rnacentral:rRNA from 1 species
AUUGAACGCUGGCGGCAGGCCUAACACAUGCAAGUCGAACGAGUGGCGGACGGGUGAGUAAUGUCUGGGAAACUGCCUGAUGGAGGGGGAUAACUACUGGAAACGGUAGCUAAUACCGCAUACCAUCAGAUGUGCCCAGAUGGGAUUAGCUUGUUGGUGGGGUAACGGCUCACCAAGGCGACGAUCCCUAGCUGGGCUGAGAGGAUGACCAGCCACACUGGAACUGAGACACGGUCCGGACUCCUACGGGAGGCAGCAGUGGGGAAUAUUGCACAAUGGACACAAGCCUGAUGCAGCCAUGCCGCGUGUAUGAAGAGGGCCUUCGGGUUGUAAAGUACUUUCAGCGGGAAGGCGUUACCCGCAGAAGAAUAAAAGGCUAACUCCGUGCCAGCAGCCGCGAUAAUAC